UUCUGGGCUCGAUUAAAUAUAAAUUACCUUAAUGCAAAUGUUUAUACUAAAGAAAAUUACAUUCCUUACUUACCAGGAAUUAAAUGCAUAUCUGCCAUUCCUGCAAAUGUGAAACAUUUAAACCAGCGUACAGAAAGUAUUUUUCUUAAGACUUUUGACAUGCACAAUAAGCGAAAGUACCUAUUGACAAUAUGUAAUUGCUAAAGAAAUUAUUUGUUAUUUAUACAUCAAGUUCAAUAACGUAAUUAUGUAAUGUUUUUCAGUAUCUAACUAAUCAUGAAUUAUUCACCUGCAUUCACACUUCUUCAAUAAGACAAUAUUGAGAACAAUAUGUAUAAUAAAAUGGAAAAAUAAUAUGCGACUCGGAUCCACACUCAUGUUUCGCGAUUUGCAUGCGAUACGCGCGCGAAUGCAAAAACGGCUUGAAAAUAAUACUAAUCUAUUGAGUAAUUUAGUGGAUUCAAACUGUAGCAGGGAUAUUUUGGUAGGGUUACUUUUAAAAAUAAACUGAAAUUCCACGGCAUUAAUUCUAAGUAACUAUAUGUAAUUGGUCCAAAUUUUUGAUAAUGAUAAUCUGCUGAAUAUUUUGGCGAUUUAUAGAUAUCAAAUACAUGCUUCAAUGCAUUAAUUCAACAAUAUAUCAUGAACAAGUUCGAAUACGAUAUAAUUGCAUGGGAUUCACCGUUAAAACUUGUUUUGAAAAAGCAUCAAAGUAUUUGAAAUAGCCAAACAUAUUCACAUUAUUCAUACAUAUUAUUCUAUACACAAAAAAGUACUAACUAUCCUCACUAUAUUUUGAAAGUACCUAUAUCAGAAAAUAAACACAUAGCAUGUAAUAUCAUAAGAUCCACUAAAGAAUCAUUCAUCCUGGCAACAUUGAUCUACAGAUGUUAUAAAUGUCUAAACAGUAUGCGCGCCAAGUGGAAACUACGUUCGAGCUAUGUAUAUAGCCGUUAACAUUGUAUGUAUUAAUUUACGUCGUAAAUGUACAAUAGUUGUCAAAUAAGACUCCAAUUCAAUAAUAUUUCUGUCUACUUAAUACUAGUAUUAAAGCUUUUAGUAUCAACAGCUACAAAUUGAUUAUCUAAUUAAUCCAUUUUUCUCAAUUCUAAAAUAGAUAGUAUAUUUAUCUACCCUUUGACAUUUUAAGAUCUUGGUAAGUAUAAUGUACACUUUUUAACGAAUACAAAAAAAUUAUAUAGAUACAUUUGAACGGGAUGCAAUUGAAUUUACCUGUUCAAUAAAACUUGAUUUCAUAGCUGUAUUAUAAUUGAUAUCCAAAGAGUAGUUACCAAAAAAAUAAAUUUAGAGAAGAAAAAAUACACAAAAAUUCCAAUCGUUGAAAGAAGAAGAGGAACACAAAAAUUUUUCUAAUACUUAUUACAAUACUGAAUUGAAUACUAAGUAUUAAAAGAAUAAGCAACAAUUCAAAUUUAAAUCUAAACUGAUUAUAAUGCAAACUGAAUUUUUCACCUGCAAAUAUUGUGAAUGUGACUUAACUUCUAAAGAAUAUUUGGAGUACCAUGAAAGAUACUGUAAGUUGAGAAUGGAACGAAAACAGAAGUCAGAUGAGGAUGUUAAAGUUGAAAAAGUAUACAAAUGUACAUAUUGUGAAUAUUCAAGUAAAUUUUCAGGUAAUUUAAAGAAGCAUAUUAGUGGUAAACAUGAGAAACAGAACAAAGAAAUGUUUAAUUGUAAAAUAUGUGGUUAUAAAAGUUACUGGAAAUCAAGUCUUCAACAGCAUUUUAAAAUUCAUGAAGAAAGUAAAUUUGGAUGUGUGAAAUGUAAUAUUAUGUAUAGUCAGAAACAAAAUCUUUAUGAACAUUAUAUACAAAAACAUCCUGAAAAAUAUGUUAAGGUAACAUCUAGAAUACAUCAAUGCUACUAUUGUACUUUUAGAACUGUUUGUAAAAGUAAGUUACAUCAACACAAAUGUCUCAACAUAUUUGAAAAACAAAAACAGAAUAACAAAAAAGUUUCAUGUACUCAAAACAAUUAUUCUACUAAUAAGGAAUAAUAUUUUACUGUAUACAUACAAAUUCUUGAUGACAGAAAGAUUCCUCUAAAGAACAUUAUAAAUGUUUUCAAUUAUGUUGAAUAUAACUGCUACAUUUGUUUUAAACAAACCAUAUUAAAUAAAUAUCUCAAUUUGUCAGUUAUAAAAUACCAAUACUGAUAAUGCCCUUGUACCACAAAACCAACACCAAUUCUCGUUUUUUCUUGUAGUUCAUUUUUCUGAAAAUUUGUUGUCAAAAACCAUAAAUGAAAAUUUACUACAUUGUUUUCAGUAGAAUUUUUAUUUGUUUCUGUUGAGAAUUAUAUUUUAAGUUGUAGAAGUUGGAAUACCUAUUUUUCAAUCAAGUUUUUUUAGUUCCUAUUAAGAAUACAUUAUAAAUUAUAAAAAUGUAAUUAUGAAUACAUCUUUUUAGUUUAUCUGUUCCUAGUCAUUUUAAGUUAUUAUAAUAUUUAAUUAGUUCAUAUAUUUCCAUUAGAUGUUAAAAUAUGGCUAAAUAAAUUGUUAAAUAAGAA